UAUAAAUAUAAUAUUGCAUAUUAUUUAUAUUAUUUGUAUAUUAUUUAUAUAUUAUUUAAGUAUUUAUCAGCUAACUUAUAUCCAAGUUCUGGUCGGCGAUCUUUUCCUUCAACCAUUGCUUUUACUUGACUUGAAUUUACAAUUACUCCAUUAUUAGCUAUAACAGUAGCUUUAGUUUUUUCAAUAUCAACAAGAUCUACUCCUCGACUACAAUCAUCAAUGAGAAUAGUCCGAUAACCGCUUAUCUUUAUGAAGUUCAGCACCCCAAGAAUCUUGAAUACAAUGACGAGGCCAUAGACGUUGUUUUAAUAAUGGUGGACCUCUAAAUGUUAUAGUAUCAUAAACUUGUGCUGUUUCUUUUGAGGUUCCACUACUGGGAUCAAUUUCUCUGUAAAAAAAUAAUAAAUUUAUAAAUUAUAUUAUAAAAA